CUUUGCUGUUGUAAGAGCGGUACUGCUGGCGGAGCACUGACAACAGUAUCAGAAACCAAAGCGGAGGAAGACUGCAGACGUGCGCAACCCUCCAAGCCAAUGAGCUUUGCCAAGCAGUAGGGAAUGUGCUAAGGUCACCCUUCACCCCAACCUCUGUGUGAAGGAAAGAAGGCAUUGCAUUCUCAUAUUGAGGAGCUUCUCAGAAAUGGAUCUCCCCUCUGCUCACCUCAGGCGCUACACUAAGUAGG